GGGUUGUGAGGUUAAGCGACUAAGCGUACACGGUGGAUGCCCUGGCAGUCAGAGGCGAUGAAGGACGUGCUAAUCUGCGAUAAGCGUCGGUAAGGUGAUAUGAACCGUUAUAACCGGCGAUUUCCGAAUGGGGAAACCCAGUGUGUUUCGACACACUAUCAUUAACUGAAUCCAUAGGUUAAUGAGGCGAACCGGGGGAACUGAAACAUCUAAGUACCCCGAGGAAAAGAAAUCAACCGAGAUUCCCCCAGUAGCGGCGAGCGAACGGGGAGGAGCCCAGAGCCUGAAUCAGUGUGUGUGUUAGUGGAAGCGUCUGGAAAGGCGCGCGAUACAGGGUGACAGCCCCGUACACAAAAAUGCACAUGCUGUGAGCUCGAUGAGUAGGGCGGGACACGUGGUAUCCUGUCUGAAUAUGGGGGGACCAUCCUCCAAGGCUAAAUACUCCUGACUGACCGAUAGUGAACCAGUACCGUGAGGGAAAGGCGAAAAGAACCCCGGCGAGGGGAGUGAAAAAGAACCUGAAACCGUGUACGUACAAGCAGUGGGAGCACGCUUCGGCGUGUGACUGCGUACCUUUUGUAUAAUGGGUCAGCGACUUAUAUUCUGUAGCAAGGUUAACCGAAUAGGGGAGCCGAAGGGAAACCGAGUCUUAACUGGGCGUUAAGUUGCAGGGUAUAGACCCGAAACCCGGUGAUCUAGCCAUGGGCAGGUUGAAGGUUGGGUAACACUAACUGGAGGACCGAACCGACUAAUGUUGAAAAAUUAGCGGAUGACUUGUGGCUGGGGGUGAAAGGCCAAUCAAACCGGGAGAUAGCUGGUUCUCCCCGAAAGCUAUUUAGGUAGCGCCUCGUGAAUUCAUCUCCGGGGGUAGAGCACUGUUUCGGCAAGGGGGUCAUCCCGACUUACCAACCCGAUGCAAACUGCGAAUACCGGAGAAUGUUAUCACGGGAGACACACGGCGGGUGCUAACGUCCGUCGUGAAGAGGGAAACAACCCAGACCGCCAGCUAAGGUCCCAAAGUCAUGGUUAAGUGGGAAACGAUGUGGGAAGGCCCAGACAGCCAGGAUGUUGGCUUAGAAGCAGCCAUCAUUUAAAGAAAGCGUAAUAGCUCACUGGUCGAGUCGGCCUGCGCGGAAGAUGUAACGGGGCUAAACCAUGCACCGAAGCUGCGGCAGCGACNNNNNNNNNNNNNNNNNNNNNNNNNNNNNNNNNNNNNNNNNNNNNNNNAUGCUGGAGGUAUCAGAAGUGCGAAUGCUGACAUAAGUAACGAUAAAGCGGGUGAAAAGCCCGCUCGCCGGAAGACCAAGGGUUCCUGUCCAACGUUAAUCGGGGCAGGGUGAGUCGACCCCUAAGGCGAGGCCGAAAGGCGUAGUCGAUGGGAAACAGGUUAAUAUUCCUGUACUUGGUGUUACUGCGAAGGGGGGACGGAGAAGGCUAUGUUGGCCGGGCGACGGUUGUCCCGGUUUAAGCGUGUAGGCUGGUUUUCCAGGCAAAUCCGGAAAAUCAAGGCUGAGGCGUGAUGACGAGGCACUACGGUGCUGAAGCAACAAAUGCCCUGCUUCCAGGAAAAGCCUCUAAGCAUCAGGUAACAUCAAAUCGUACCCCAAACCGACACAGGUGGUCAGGUAGAGAAUACCAAGGCGCUUGAGAGAACUCGGGUGAAGGAACUAGGCAAAAUGGUGCCGUAACUUCGGGAGAAGGCACGCUGAUAUGUAGGUGAGGUCCCUCGCGGAUGGAGCUGAAAUCAGUCGAAGAUACCAGCUGGCUGCAACUGUUUAUUAAAAACACAGCACUGUGCAAACACGAAAGUGGACGUAUACGGUGUGACGCCUGCCCGGUGCCGGAAGGUUAAUUGAUGGGGUUAGCCGCAAGGCGAAGCUCUUGAUCGAAGCCCCGGUAAACGGCGGCCGUAACUAUAACGGUCCUAAGGUAGCGAAAUUCCUUGUCGGGUAAGUUCCGACCUGCACGAAUGGCGUAAUGAUGGCCAGGCUGUCUCCACCCGAGACUCAGUGAAAUUGAACUCGCUGUGAAGAUGCAGUGUACCCGCGGCAAGACGGAAAGACCCCGUGAACCUUUACUAUAGCUUGACACUGAACAUUGAGCCUUGAUGUGUAGGAUAGGUGGGAGGCUUUGAAGUGUGGACGCCAGUCUGCAUGGAGCCGACCUUGAAAUACCACCCUUUAAUGUUUGAUGUUCUAACGUUGACCCGUAAUCCGGGUUGCGGACAGUGUCUGGUGGGUAGUUUGACUGGGGCGGUCUCCUCCUAAAGAGUAACGGAGGAGCACGAAGGUUGGCUAAUCCUGGUCGGACAUCAGGAGGUUAGUGCAAUGGCAUAAGCCAGCUUGACUGCGAGCGUGACGGCGCGAGCAGGUGCGAAAGCAGGUCAUAGUGAUCCGGUGGUUCUGAAUGGAAGGGCCAUCGCUCAACGGAUAAAAGGUACUCCGGGGAUAACAGGCUGAUACCGCCCAAGAGUUCAUAUCGACGGCGGUGUUUGGCACCUCGAUGUCGGCUCAUCACAUCCUGGGGCUGAAGUAGGUCCCAAGGGUAUGGCUGUUCGCCAUUUAAAGUGGUACGCGAGCUGGGUUUAGAACGUCGUGAGACAGUUCGGUCCCUAUCUGCCGUGGGCGCUGGAGAACUGAGGGGGGCUGCUCCUAGUACGAGAGGACCGGAGUGGACGCAUCACUGGUGUUCGGGUUGUCAUGCCAAUGGCACUGCCCGGUAGCUAAAUGCGGAAGAGAUAAGUGCUGAAAGCAUCUAAGCACGAAACUUGCCCCGAGAUGAGUUCUCCCUGACCCUUUAAGGGUCCUGAAGGAACGUUGAAGACGACGACGUUGAUAGGCCGGGUGUGUAAGCGCAGCGAUGCGUUGAGCUAACCGGUACUAAUGAACCGUGAGGCUUAACCUUACAACGCCGAAG
rnacentral:rRNA from 1 species